rnacentral:lncRNA from 1 species
AUUUUGGAGCCGUAUCGGAAGCACAAGUGUCAUGGGCUGAAAGGCCGCCUUCUCCUGCGGGCUAAGGGUGUGGGCGACAGCUCGCACAUUCAAAUAAGGGAGCGAUUACACGGCGCUUGCUUCUGAAGACGGAUUUCCUGCAGUAUUGGACGGUGCAGCUUUAAGAGGAGUCCUUCUUUUUUCCAUCAAGGUCCUGGCUUGAAUUUUCUCUGGGUCCUUUUUGGCCUCCCCUUCUGGGACUCUGUUCUGAACCAUGCAUCCCUGAUGUUUCCUUCCCUCAUAUUCCUGGACAUCCUACCCACACUGAGGUUUAAUUUUAGCUGAUUCUCUCUCAAGGACAAAGUAUAUAUUUUUAUUUUAAUUUAUGUCGCCUGAACCAUUUCCAAGUUUUACUUUUAGAACCUGUCAAUAUUAGUGACAUGUGGCAUUUUAGGUACUUUUCUGCUGGUGGGGCCUAAAUUUAUUGUCAUUUUAUGUCACUCGGCAAAAUGCACAAAAUGCCAGAAGUGUUAUAAACAGAGACGAUUUAUGUUCGGGUUGGGGUGAGGUUAAGAGAAUGAAUAUAAUCAAUUUUUUUUUCAGAGACUUUUAUGCGAGUGUGAGGGCCAGCAGGUGCACAUUUGAAGCUCAGUGGGAAGUGUUUUCCAAGCAACAGGAGACAGCAGAUGCAGAUGGGGUCCAAUUACUGCUGCUCACGGCUGAUCACGCCAUGCACUUGUGUGCGGAUACCUGGCUCCUGGUCUCAGGCACCUAGUAUGGGGCUAUGCACACGGUAGGUGCUCAGUUAAAGCUUAUGGAAGAAGGGAUGGAGAAAAGUGGUGUCUCACUAUGUUAGGCCAGGCUGGUCUCCAACUCCUGGCCUCAAGUGAUCCUCCCCCUCCAGCCUCCCAAAGUGCUGGGAUUACAGGCAUGAUAUACUGCGCCUGGCCUGCAACCGUCCUUUUUUCCCCCUGAUUAUUUUCGAUGUGUUGUUGGUUGAAUCCACAAAUGCAGGAACGCUCAUGGAUUCCUGAGAAGUUGGCUGGAACUAAGGGAGCAUUCAGAGACCACAGAUCCAGUUGACUGGUCCCUGCUGACAUCCAGUCCACGUUGUUGGCCACAUCAGCUCCUCUUCAAACUCAUGAUGCAAAUCAACAGCUAAACAUGUUGAUAUUUUUUGUUUCUCUCAGCUAAGUGGAUCCCUGAGUCCUCCUGGUGCAGUGGAAAGAUUUGAGUUUUGCAGCCAAAUAGAGUGAGGUUUAAAUGGUGGCUAAGCGGCUCACGCC